AACGAACGCUGGCGGCAUGCCUAACACAUGCAAGUCGAACGAGACCUCCGGGUCUAGUGGCGCACGGGUGCGUAACGCGUGGGAACCUGCCCUUAGGUUCGGAAUAACUCCCCGAAAGGGGUGCUAAUACCGGAUAAUGUCUUCGGACCAAAGAUUUAUCGCCUUUGGAUGGGCCCGCGUUGGAUAGCUAGUUGGUAGGGUAAAAGCCUACCAAGGCGACGAUCCAUAGCUGGUCUGAGAGGAUGAUCAGCCACACUGGGACUGAGACACGGCCCAGACUCCUACGGGAGGCAGCAGUGGGGAAUAUUGGACAAUGGGCGAAAGCCUGAUCCAGCAAUGCCGCGUGAGUGAUGAAGGCCUUAGGGUUGUAAAGCUCUUUUACCCGGGAUGAUAAUGACAGUACCGGGAGAAUAAGCUCCGGCUAACUCCGUG
rnacentral:rRNA from 1 species